rnacentral:rRNA from 1 species
GACGGAGGGGGCAAGCGUUGUCCGGACUCACUGGGCGUAAAGAGCGCGCAGGCGGUCGUUCAAGUCGCGUGUGAAAGCCCCCGGCUCGACUGGGGAGGGUCACGCGAUACUGAUCGACUGGAAGGCAGGAGAGGGUAGUGGAAUUCCCGGUGUAGUGGUGAAAUGCGUAGAUAUCGGGAGGAACACCAGUGGCGAAGGCGACUACCUGGCCUGUUCUUGACGCUGAGGCGCGAAAGCUAGGGGAGCAAACGGG